rnacentral:lncRNA from 1 species
CAAACAAUCGGCGAACAUCGUCGUCAAAUACCCCGCACACGCCAGCAUGAACGCGAACGGAUACUCCACGCUCGUCAAAUCCCCAAACGUCUCAUUCGAGUCGCUCAGAAAAUGCAUCAUCGCCGUCCCCAUAAACACUCCGCCGGCGAACUGCGUUCCCAGCACUAGAAACGUCUCGUUCCACUUCAAGAAGUAGGGCGACACGCCGCCGAUGAAAGUCCCGACAAACACGAGAAUCAGACAGUAGAUCUUCACCAGAAUCAGUGGCUUCGUCCUCAAGUCAACGCUGUCCGACGACGGCUCGUCACCAUCAUCAUCAUGAUCGCCGCCAUGGGCUGCGGCGACGGCGGCGAAGGCGAGGAGGAGAAGAGAGAGGGAGAGGAGAGAGCGAGGCAUUGGAAACGGAGGGAUGAAGAAGGAAGCAUUUGAAUCAGGCUGUAGGGUUUCUAUAUUCUUUUAUAUAUGAGAGGGUUGGUUGGAAUUGUACGAUACAGAGACGAAUGGUGAAAGAGGGCAAGUACUCAGUACUGCACAAAGAAGACACGAACGUGGAAAGUAUAUAAUGAUUAAUGACUAACCAUUUAUAGCUUCACAGCCAAGCUUCUCCUCCCCUGCCUUUUGGGCAGCGGCUGGUAUUUCCGCGUGAUAAAGGAGAUGCACACGUUCUUGGGAUCUUUUUCUAAAAAGGAGUUAAUUUUAUUUUAUUUUAAUUUUCUUGAUACUUCGUUGUUUCUGCUAUCAAAGAAUGAUUGAAAAGAUUUAAUAUUGGAUAUUUUAUUUUUAUUUAAAAUGGUUUUAUGGUUCUUUUUGGAUAUUUUAAUUUAAACAUGUACGGCUGUCAAUUAUUUUAUGUAAUAUGUCUUUUUCCUGAUAUAUUGCAUUUAAAAAGGAAUGUAAAUUAUAUAUACAUUUUUUUCUGUAUAUCAAAUUUCUAAUGAAAAUUCUUGAUGAUUGAAAAUAUAUUAUAAAAUUUAAAUUAUUGCAUCAAAAAAAUAAAUAAUAAAAUUAAGAUAUAAAAAAAAUAACCUGGUUGCAAGCAAUGACUUUGACUAGCUCUGAAGAAUAUAACACAAGAAUUUUGCCAUUUAUGAAUGAAACCACCAUACCAUACUUAACUUAUCUAACAGUAGAUUGCUUAUUUAUGCCAAAAUCAAACAUCCCUGCUCCAUAUGAGAGAAAUGUUCAUCGUAACUGCAUACCAGUAUGCUUCAUUUUUAGAAGUUUCUAUAUACAACAACAUGGUUGACCUUUUCCCUCUUUAUUUUUAUUCUUACAAAUUUUCCUUCACUGCUCAUCUGAAAGCUUAAACUAUUAGCCUUUUUUCCUAUAACGUGUGACCAUAUAUAAUUAUAUUUAUAUGAAUAUUAUUUAAGGGUAUCAAUUGAUAGGUAGGUGAAUCAAUUGAUUAGGCAUCCAAGAGUCUUAUGUAUGGAAGACUCAAAUUACAAAUGAGGAGUUAGAAAAUUUAACUCAUAUGAAUGUGGUGUUACAAUUUUUGUAACCCCAUCUUUAUGAAAUUUAUUUGUACAUUAUGUUUAUGAGUAAUGGAGGAAAAUAGAAAGAUAUAACCUAUACAAUUAUAUGGAUGCAUUCAAGUUCAUAACCCACUAUUACCCAUUAAUUUGUACAUAAUGGGUGUAAAUAAUGAGUAUAACUUCCAUAUAGUCUUUGAUGGGAAGACUAAGAGAUGUACAACUUAUUAUAAAUUGAGGUCUCAAGCCACACUCUCAUUCUUAUGUCUUUUUCUUUCUUGUUGUUUAUUUUUUAACAACAUACACCACACAAGUGACCCAUCCACUAUAUGAGAGUAGUGAGUUGAAGACCUUGACAAUACAAUUCACAAGGUGACUCAAUCUCACUUCAUGGAUCAAGGUAAAAAUAUGAUCAUUAUUUUAGUACUUCCAUUUAUUUGUUUUAUGUAUCCAAAAUUGUUUUCAAAAAUAAUUAUUUCCGCAUAAAGUUUAUGAAAGUUUGGUUAACAUAAACAACAAACCCCACUCAAACAUUCAAACUGUAAUCCAUUAUAGGGACCUCAAAUAUGAGUGGGUUUGAUUUUUAUUUUCUAAAAACCUUAAGAAAUACCAAAAAUAAAAAAUUCAGAUGGUUUUCAAUUGCACUGUGGUGCGCCGAUUGUAAAGAUACUAAUGGUCAUGCCAUCACUGAACCUCUGAGACGGCCAAAUCACUCCAAAAUGUUUAAAAAAAAUUCUCUCUAAUCCCAACCAAGAACUGAAAACAACCAAGAAGUGCUUCAUCCCAACUGUUGAAUUGUCCAACACAACGAAUUCAACAUCGAAUGAACACAAGCACAAGAAGCACAAAGAGCAAUGAGAUGAUACCUUCUAUGCAAAUCUAUUGUAUGAAAGUGUUUUCUCGUGUAACAAUGUGCACAAAUUUGAAGAUGAGGUUUUGUGGAUAUGGAUGACUGAGAUUACACACUUGAUGAUGGAUGAUUUGAUAUUGUGUGAUUUAUUGAUCUACCACACAUCUGAUGUUAUACUAGGGCCUAUUUGCUCUUUGGUUGAGGUUUAUAGAUCUUCACGGAUUUGCAUAAUCAUCUCCACUUACGAGAUGCAUGUCGAGUUGAUGGUAUAUUGUUAUCUUAUCAUGAUUCCCCAAUGGAGUCGCCAUUUUGUGUACAUCGCAUUUUAUGCAUGCGCUCCCAUUCGAUGGUGAACUCGUUUUUUUAUUUGAAAAAGACUUAUUUUUUUAGAAAAAAGACUUGGAGUCGUCACUUAUUUUUGUUUUAUUUUUAAAGUGAAAACAAAAUAAGAAAGAAAACUCUAAGUGUGACUCUUUAUUUGGAAAAGACUGUCUGUGAAAAACCAAAUCAGGGUUCGGGGGUCAGAUUACUUAUUGGGAAGGUACGGUAAAGACCGUAGCACCCCUCUAAGCCCCUAAAAAAUGGGUCUUUACUAAAUAAGUAAAACAAACAUGACAAUUAACUAGGAAAUCAAUGGAUACCAAAAUGGGGUUACUUAGUGGCAAGUAAUAAUGUGUUAUCAUGAAAUGGGGUUAGUGCACAAUAAUGAGUACAAAAUAUAUCACAUGUGUCACUAAACAGAGUAAGAAAUCAUUAAUUGCAAACAUUGCACUUCACGUGAAUUUAGUUUUUAAAGAAAACACUAUUGAUGUUGGGCUCCCACCAAAGCCCGAUAUAUUUUUGCAUGAUUUAAUUCUAUAAAUUCCAGUAUUUGGAAUUUUUGAAUUUAAUUCAUGUUUGUUUUAAAACAUUUAGAAAUCAAGGAAAAUAUGAAAAGAUGCUUGCCGGAAAGAAAAUGAUAGCAAUUUUUUUUUUAAAAUGGGAUUUUUGGUGAUCAUAAACUCUAAAGAAGAAUGAAAGGUUGUGAGUUAAAUUAUUUGAAAACCAGAUUUUUGAAAAUCAAUAUUUGAAGGCAUGUAUAAAAAUGAAUAAAUAAAGGAAGCAAGUGGGCUUUGAAAAUGAACAUAGGAGAAUGACCAUGCAAACCAUGCAAUAGUGGAGUCCUAGGCUUGGGGCGUCACGAACACUGGUUACAUGUUGUUUCUGAAACCCAAUUAAGCAGGAACGAUGGAGACUGCAAGAUGCUGAGUGUACCAAAGAUGGAGAUGGGCAAGAAUUGGUCAUAUGCACACUAAAGUGGCCAUGCGAAUGAGUAGCCUUGUGAACCUAAGCAUCAAUUCUUCCUUGUAAAAGAACCAUGAUUGAAAUUGCAAUAUUUCUAUUUUCAAACACUGGACUGUCACUACUAAUCACCACUACUCCGACCAUGUUUGUUGUUGAAUACGAUGAGGGACUUAGGAAAGAACCUAAGCAUCAAUAGACUCUUUCUCGGCCUCUAUAAGAAACUACAUAAAAUGCAUCUCUAUACCAAAAAAUGGUGGAAUAAAAUCUAUAAUAUUUUCCUUGAAGAAUUUUAGCUUCUUCAUUAUGUAUAUAAUCUAAUUAGAUUGAUCACAUUUUUUUUUUUUAUAAAUAUCAAUCAGAUAUCAUAUUGAAUCCAUUCUUAAUCAUGAAUAUUAUAUUCAUUUAAAUAAUAUUCAAAAGUAUGCUUAGUUUAUAAGUCAAAAGGACUUUUUUUUUUUGUGGAAUUGUGAUAUCUUUAUGGUAAAAUGGCAAGGCGCACAGAAGGGCCAUUUGGGUAAGAUCAAGUUGUUUGGACUGGAGUGCAUGUGGAUCGUACUAAUGUGGUCAAAAUCAAAUCAAAUCCAUGUCCAAAACAUGAUUGAGUGGAAAAGCAAGCAAACUCCAAUGAACCAACGUUUCAUUUGUGAUGGUUAAGAGAUGUGUUAAGAAACAUGAUAUGCAUGUUGAACUCAAAUCCUCUAAAUAUGAGCUUUUAGAAAAAUUGGUAGUUCAACAUGAUAUCAGCAUUUGGUUUGGUGAGAAGGUUUCGUGUUCGAGUUUUGGAUAUGAAUCCAAAUUCUAUUUAUCUCUCCACCAUUUUGGAUAUGAAUCCAAAUUCUAUCUAUCUCUAUUGUGUCUAUCCACCCACUAUUUUGGAUAUAAUAUGAAUCCAAAUUUUGUCUAUCUCUUAACAUGCUUCUAUUUUUCUCUCUACGUGCGAGUAUAAGGUUGCAACAUAGGGGAGCUUAAGCUUGGGUUCAACAAGAUGCUUGGUACACACACCAAUUGUAUCAAGCUAAGUCAAUACAAUCGACAAUCAAUAUAUUAUUGGAUUCUACAAUGGACGACCCUGAUCAAUACAAACCUAGUGAAUCUUAAAUCUUCCCACAUAAGGUGGCUUUUCAUCUAAGUCAUCUAACUGAUUUGAAAGAAGAAUUAAUCUAGAUCAAUUCAUUAAUCAAAAGAUGAUUUGAUACUGAUUUAGGAUUAUUAGAGAUCAUUAAAUUAAGGGUUUAUUACAUUUUACCCUCCUAACCAAUAAUGUGUUUUGCAUAUUACCCCCUCAAGUUUAAAAUCGAGUAAUGUACCUUCCAUGCAUCAUAAUUACAUGCAAUGUGUAUUUUUAGAGUGACGAUGUUACCUUAAUUAGACGAAAGGUUCAUGUACUCUCCACAUGACCUAUUUAAAUGAGGGCAAAAGAGUCAUUUCAUUUUAAAACGCCAAAACCCUGACCCACUCUCCUUUUUCCUUCAUUCAUUCCUUCCCUCAAUCUUCGUUGUUUAUCUCGCCUCUGUUGCCAUUGGCGCCGUUGUGGACCCUUCACCGACCACCCAUUGCACCACCACCUUCCCGUCGUGACUUCACUCUCCUCAAAUCCUACAUUGUCAUUCUCGUAAACAAACGCUAGCCCCAACGCCUCCCUAAAAAGCAUCAUUUUGAUGAUUAACCGCCAGCAAAACCUCGGUCUUGACCUCGCCCUCCGAAUAGUCAACCAUGUCGACAAAUUCCACCCCAAUUUUUCCCACUAUUAGGAAACCUACCUCGUCAUAAUAAAGUUACUAAUUGCUUCAAACUUGCCAAAUCUUGUAUUUUCCAAUUUCUUUAAAUUCUUUUUUUUUUCAUCACGGAAAUUUAAAUGAGAGAAAGGAUUAUAAAUGCUUAAGAAAAGUUUUUAUUUUCAAAUUUUUGUUUCUCAAGCAUUUUCGCUGGAUUUGGCAAGGUUGUCAUUUGAAUUUUGAAUUGAUUUUCCUUUUAGAUUUUUAUAUUAUAUUGUAUUUCAAUCAUUUUUUGUUUGACGAUUUGAAUUUGAUUGUCUUGGAUUGUGAUGGUUUUUCAAUUCGGUGCUUUAACUAUUAGGUAAAACAACUUGUUUGGUUAUGUUUUUUUUUUUUUUUUGUGAAUCUGUCUAUUUUUUAAGAUACUGCAAAUUGUUUGGUAAAACUUGUUUGGUUGUUGAGAAAAUGUGGUUUCUAGAAAAUGAAGGAAGGAAGAAGAAGGAGAGUUGGGUUAGGGUUUUGGGGUUUUAAACUAUAAUGACUCUUUUGCCCUCAUUUAUUAAAAAAAAUACCAUUUUACCCUCGUCCACGCAAAGAGCACAUGUCAUUCUAUAAACAAAUGUAAUGUCGUGACUCAUAAAAUGUACAUUGCAUGCAAUUAUAAAGCUUGGAGGGUACAUUCCUCGAUUUUGAACUCAAGGGGACAAUGUACAAAACACGGUAGAGGUCGGAGGUAAAGUGUAAUAAACCCUUAAAUUAAUUACAAAAGUGUGUGCCUUUUGAUUAGAUUUGUUAAGCAACUGAUGCCCUCGAUUAAUCAAUGCGCGCAGAUGUUCCCAAAUCAGCCAUGUGCAAGACUGACAGUGGGAUGCUUACCUUAGUUUUACUUCUUUCGCAUUAGCAAAACGACUUUUAGACGUCAAAGCCCCUAUAUUUAUAUUAUUUCCCUCUGUCCUGCACAAAUAUUUAUUUUUUAACCUUACCAUUUUGAAGGUUUUUUCACCGUAUUGUGCUCCCCUUUUCAUAUUUUUUUUGCAGGACAUUUUCUAGGGAUAGCAGCAUUAUGGUUUGUCCAAGUUGGCGUUGAAAUCUACCGAUUCUUCUCUUGUAUGAUUAACUUUGAAGAAAAGAUUGAUAGGGUCGAUAAGGCUGAAAGAGUCAAGCUUCUAGGAAAGAAAGUUACGGGUUCUACCGUCAAAUGUGGUGCAUCACUAGUUUUUGCUUCCAUAGCAGUCGGGAUUGGUGCCACCCUUUUCUAUCCUUCAGCUCGUCAGUGGAUUGGUGGGUACAUCUCCUCAUCUACAAGUACCCUAUAAAGCUUUUUGCAUAAUGUCAGUAACAUACAAAAUAUCUGCAAGUAGCUUGCUAAUUUUUAUAGAAUGUAGAAAGGAAAAGAUCUUUGAUCUGUAAAAUUUCCAAUACUUAAAUGUACUUCUCCUGCAGGCUGUGCUGCUGGGGACUUUGGCUGGGCCCAUUAUUGUAUCAAUUUGCUUUGAAAAGGUUCUUCAUGUAGACCUUUAGAAGAGCACACGGGAUAAGUUGUCUGAUGGAUUUUGGCACCUGCUUCAAAUUGUGGGUUUUAAACGAUAGUUGGAAAAAAAACAAUUUAAAAGUGGUAGUUACAAAAUCUAUUAAACUUUUUGUCAGUAUCUCUUUCAUAUUUUUCAUAUUAAUAAUACAUGUUAAAAAAAUUGAGUUUACACUAAAUAUGUCUCCUCAAGAAACACCUACCGUAAUUCCAUAAAAUCGAAAUUAUACUAAAAGGUAUUUUUUUAAGAUAUACUUUUUCAUAAUUUUUUUAUUAAUCAUGCAUGCUAAAACAUUGAAUUUAUAGGUGUCCCUUGAAUAAACACUUUCGUGUUAACCACAUAGAGAAAAAAAAAAUUACACUUAACAUAUAUCCACAAUUCCACAAAAUUGAAUUUAUACAAAAUAUGUUUUUUGAAUAAACACCUUUCACAACUUUUAUAUUAGCCACCCAUCGAAAGUAAUUGAAUUUAUAUCAAGGGUACAUCUUAAAAAGACAUUUUCAGUAUAAAUUUAAUUUCGUGAAAUUAUAGAAAAUGCAUCUUAAAGUAAUAUCUUUAAUGUAAAUUCAAUUUUUUCACUGUAUAACUUAUAUGAAAAUUGAUUUAAUUGUAAUUCAUCGAUAUGUUUUGAUGUUAGUAUAAAAGCCUAUUUGGUAAUGAUUAUAAGAAACGCUUUUAAUUUUUUUAACAUUAUAAAACUUUUAUCUUUUAAGUAUUAAAAAAUCUAAAAACAUUUCUUAGAAAUACUACCAAACACACUCUAAAUUUGAUAGGUUUGCGUUUUCCUUCAUAGAUGAUCUGAACUGGCCAUUGAAUUGUGCCCUCGGUAUAUCCCAUUGUUAAAUGAUGGAUGAUCUGCAAAUAAUCUGAACUGAUUCUAAGCCAUCUUUUUCAGAACAUGAGCUGAUUAACCCCUAGUUUUCUAAUGACUUGUUUUCUUCACAUGUCCUCAUGAUGCUCUACCAUUACUGGAUCCAUGAAGCUGAAGUCACAUUUCAAAUGAUACAAAAUAUGUUACAGAGCAUCAGAUACCGAAUAUCUUUUCACUCGUCUAAAUACUAUUUUACUUGUAGUAUAUGUAUCUAAAGAUCCCAUUGAAAAGAAAAACGUGGGUUUGCUUAAUCAUCAUAAAAAAGGUGGGAUCAAGAAAUGACAUUUCUAUACUCCUGGACAUCCUCUCUGCAACUUCUAUGAUUAAGGAACAAACCCAAGAUGAGCUCAGGUGUCCCAGAUCAUCACAACAGCGAUUACCCCGACACCCAACAACACUGCUAAGAACUUGUAGUUGGGGGUGUCAAAGGGAACUGUCCUCUGGCAAGUGUAUCCCUUGGACAGUAGAUGGUUUAUUGAGACAUAGAUGAAGAUCCCACAUGCUAGCCCCAUUGAUAUGGCGUAUAUCCAGUCAGCCACAGCGCCCUGGGUAGUGGCAUCUAUGACGAUACCAAUGGCCACUCCAACUGGGCUAGAAAUGGCAAAUGCAAAGGCAUAGGCUACACAGGAGAGGAGGGGUCUGUCUGGAAUCAUCCGAAGGAGAGCUAUUCCCAUUGCAAUGGCUGCAAAUAUCUUGUGGAGACAGACCGUCCAUAGAGCUCUCCAAGCGUCAGCUUCGGUCUCUGCAACUCCAAUUGCAAUGCCCUCAAAUACAGAGUGGAAACACAGUGCAAAGAUGAGUAAUAUGUUGUCCCCAAGCGAUGUGGCGGUUCUCAGAGGGGCGUUUACAGAGUGGACCUCUGUGCAAUUCUGAUCCUGUUAAGGGAUAAUAAGUAUUCAUUUAGCUGUCUCAGGCAUUUUAAAACGUUUUUCCUUGUAUUUUCUGAGUGAUAAGAGGAUCAUGGUUUCCUUAUCAUCUUACCUGAGCCAGAGACUCUGAAUUUCCGCCAUUGCUACUGCUUUUUCCUUGCAUAUUUUCUGUAACAAAGGGAAAAUGAAUGAAAGUGAAUCAUAAUACCAUUGUGAAAGAGAGGAGUUCAAAUCCAAGUGAGAGUAGGAUUUUGUCUAAAAAACCCAUCCAAAUACAUUAAAAUGAAAAUUGAAUCGACUUCUCGAUCUCUUAUCAUAUGGCCAAGUGGACUUCUGAGAUUACCAUCUUAUAAAACCUCAACAGUCAACACAUCAUGUUGCGUAAAGAUUUGAAAUUCUAUUCUUUUCUAUCCACCAUCCAUCCAGGAUCCACAAGGUCCAACCGACUUAUUUUGAACUGAAAAAAGGGUCAAUUUUCAACAACAAACAAAAGGGAAAAAUAAAUUCUUCAAAGAAGGAAAAAAAAAAUUCUGAUAAUCUCCAUGUCAGUAACUACUCAACUUAAUCAACUCUGCCUCAGGUUUUUUCCAAAGCACCAACUAAAUUCCAGAAAGAAAGAAAAUUAACAAAAGAAAGCCCAGCAAAAAUUUCAUAACUUUCUUUUCUUUUUCUUCUGGCUUCACGGCAAUCAAAGUCAUAUCUAAAGAAGCUUCGCCCAAAAGGGUGAGCUUUUCAUAGCUUUCCUCCGUUUCUUCAGCUGAGAAACAGAGUAAGGAUUUAAAUAUCGAAGUUGAAAACGCUCACUAAACUCAUUUGCAAUUUCCCUGCUUUAAGCUUUCUCUUCUUCUACUCUAUUUUCUCGGCAGUCAAACGGAGUAACAAUCAAGGCUAUCAAGCACCAGAAAAGAAAAAGAAAAAAAUAAAAUAAAUUCAAAUCACCAAAUCAGUACUGUCUACACUAAAUUGAGUUUCUUAUCUCUUACUUUCCUUAUCUUCUACGGGAAGAUAAAAUAAUAAAAUAAAAAAUAAAAAAUAAAAAAUUAAUAAAAAAAUUCAAAGGCUCAAAGAACCAACCUUGAAGCUCGACAUCUCCAUCGCCACCAUUCGCCCCCUUUCCAUACACAUAGGAAACCAAACAAUCGGCGAACAUCGUCAUCAAAUACCCCGCACACGCCAGCAUGAACGCGAACGGAUACUCCACGCUCGUCAAAUCCCCAAACGUCUCAUUCGAGUCGCUCAGAAAAUGCAUCAUCGCCGUCCCUAGAAACACUCCGCCGGCGAACUGCGUUCCCAGCACUAGAAACGUCUCGUUCCACUUCAAGAAGUAAGGCGACACGCCGCCGAUGAACGUCCCGACAAACACCAGAAUCAGACAGUAGAUCUUCACCAGAAUCAGUGGUUUCGCCCUCAAGUCAACGCUGUCCGACGACGGCGCGUCACCAUCAUCAUCAUCGGCAUGAUCGCCGCCAUGGGCUGCGGCGACGGCUGCGAGGACGAGGAGGAGAAGAGAGAGGGAGAGGAGAGAGCGAGACAUAGAAAACGGUGGGAUGAAGAAGGAAACAUUUGAGUAAUUAUGUAGGGUUUCAAUAUUCCUAUAUAUCUAUAUUAGAGGGUUGAUUGUUCACCACAGACACAAAUGUGAAUGAGCGAGUACUGCACCAAGAAGUCAUGAAUGUGAGAGACAUACAGCUACGAACUACGAUAAUGAUAAUGACUGAUCAUUUACAGCGCUUGUUUCGCAACCAAGCUUCCUUACUGCUUUGUGGGACUCUUCUUGGGGUCUUUCAAUGAAAAGGAUUUAAUGUUUUUUGUUUUUUUUUUUUAAUAAAAAUGUUUAAAAAUUUAAAAUAUUUUUAAUCUAUUCUUAAUAUUUUAAAAUAUGUUGUAAAAAUAAUUUUUAUAUUUAUUUUUAAUUAUUUUGUAUAAUUAUUUCUUAAAAUAACUUUUAAAAAACAAUAUAAGACAAUUAAAUGAUAUUAUUUGAAAAUAUCCUUUUUUUUUUUUUGUUCUUAAUAAUAAAAAAAUAUGUUAUCAAACAUGUAAUUUUGCAUUUUUUUAGAAUAAAAAAUUAUUCUAAAAACAGUUACCAAACAAAUCCUAAGAUUUGAAAAAGAAUAAUUUAUUUUUAUUUAAAAUAGUUUUAUUGUCUUUUUAAGACAAUUUAAAUAAGUAAAAUUGUUAAAUAUUUUAACAUACCAUUCUAAAUUAUUUUUCUUAAAAUUGAAAGUAUUGUAACUAUUUUUCUUAGACUUGGAAGUAAAUUAUUUCAAAAUUUAUGAUAAAACGUAUUAUUGGGUGAUUUAAAUAGUUUUAUUGUCCUUUUUUCUGCAUUUUAAAUAUAAGUAUGGUUGUCCAUUAUUUUAUGUAUUAGGUGGUAUGUUGAAUUUAAAGAUGAUUCUAAAUUUUUCUUAGACUUGAAUGUAUUGUAGAGUAUUUUUUUCUUCGGUCAUCAAAGUGAAUAUGUCGAAAUUAUAUAAUAAAAUUUGAAUCAUUGGAUUAUUUAAAUAGUUGUAUCGUCUUUUUUGAAUAUUUUAAAUAUGUACGAUUGUGUUUUUCUUCGUACAUUGAAUUUUAAAAUGACCGUAAACUAUUUUUCUCACCUUGAAAAGGAAUAUGUUCAAAAUAUAUGAUAAAAUCUAAAUCACUAAAUGAAAAUACAAAUUAUAAAAUCAAGAUAAAACAACAUUAGUGCCUAGAGAUCUCCAUCCUAGCCUUUACGUUUGAGAUCUCCACCAUCAUUGCCUAAAGACAAGAAAAAGUCAUCGGAUGAGAUAUGAUGAUGUUUACAAGAUCAUUUAUGACUUUGGAGUUAUCUACAUCGAGUGAAAUUGAUUUGGGAACAUCCCGAUCAAAGGUAUGUGAUUUUAAUUCUCUAUAUCUAUGUUUUUGUGGUAUCCUUAUUAUUUUUUAAUAUCUGUUUAUCUGCUACGAUAGAUUUAAAGAGCUUAAAAUAGAUUUACAUGAUUGAAGUCAUAGGAACAGGGUAAUCUAAGGUUCUUAACAAGAAGACCUCACCCAUCACCUUGGCCAAUUGAGUGGACAAAUUCUUUACAUGAUCCUUCAAGUCCUGGGGGUCAAGGCGGGACGACGUAAGGUGAUCAGUGGAUUGGUAAGUACCCGAUAAUGCUUUUUGCAUAAUAUCAGUAACAACAAAAUCUCCGAAAGUAGCUUGCUAAUUUUUAUGGAAUGUAAAAAGGAAAAGAUCUCUCGUAUAUAAAAUUUCCAAUACUAAAAUGUACUUUUCUCGCGGGCUGUGCUGCUGGGGACUUGGCUGGGCCCAUUAUUGUAUCAAUUUGCUUUGAAAAGGUUCUUCAUGCAUACCUUUAGAAGAGCACAUGGGAUAAGCUAUCUGAUGGAUUCUUGGCACCUGCUUCGAAUUUGUUUACUACCCGAAUUUUUAAAGGAUCUGCCGCUUACAUUUAUGCAUAAACCAUAAUUGAUCACAAAUCACUUAAAUCUGGUGUUAGGCCAAAAUCGACCCAGCUACCCAUUCACCAAAUUUUCCUUCCUGGGAGACUACCAUUCCCUUAGGUCACGAUUGUCAUGGUCUCCAAGAAUAAUCAGAACUGGUAUUAAUUGAUUUAAUUGCAAUCGAUUGAUAUGUUUUGCUGGUAGCGUAAGUUUCAUAGGACUGCAUUUCCUUAUACAGAAGAUGUAUGAUCUGAACUGGCCAUUGAGUUGUGCCAAAGGUACAUCCCAUUGUUAAAUAAUGGAUUCGGCAAAUAGUUUGAACUAAUUCUAAGCCAUCGCUUGUCCACAUGAUGCUCUACCAUCACUGGAUCCAUGAAGAUGAAGUCACAUUUCACAUAAUACAAAAUAUGUUACAGAGCAUUGCGGAGCCGGUAUCAGAAUAUUUUGCCCUCCAUUUUCUCAUCAGAUACCCAAUAUCAUUUCACUUGUCUAAAUACUAUUUUACUUAUGGUAUAUGCGUCUAGAGAUCCCAUUGAAAAGAAAAAAGUGGGUUUGUUUAAUAAUCAUAAACGAGGUGGGAUCAAGAAGUAAUAUUUCUAAGCUCCUUCCUCUGUACUCUUGGCUAUCCUCCCUGCAGCUUCUAUGAUUGAAGGAAAACAUUUCAAGAUGAGCUCAGGUGUCCCAGAUCAUCACAACCGCGAUUACCCCGAUGCCCAACAACACUGCUAAGAACUUGUAGUUGGGGGUGUCAAAGGGAACUGUUCUCUGGCAAGUGUAUCCCUUGGACAAUAGAUGGUUUAUUGAGACAUAUAUGAAGAUCCCACAUGCUAGCCCCAUUGAUAUGGCGAAUAUCCAGUCAGCCACAGCGCCCUGGGUAGUGGCAUCUAUGACAAUACCGAUGGCCACUCCAACUGGACUAGAAAUGGCAAAUGCAAAGGCAUAGGCUACACAGGAGAGGAGGGGUCUGUCUGGAAUCAUCCGGAGGAGAGCUAUUCCCAUUGCAAUGGCUGCAAAUAUCUUGUGGAGACAGAUCGUCCAUAGAGCUCUCCAAGCGUCGGCUUGGGUCUCUGCAACUCCAACCGCAAUGCCCUCGAAUACAGAGUGGAAACACAAAGCAAAGAUGAGUAAUAUGCUGUCCCCAAGUGACGUGGCAGUUUUCAGAGGGGCAUUUGCGAAGGGGACCUCUGUGCGAUUCUGAACCUGUUAAGGGAUAAUAAGUAUUCAUUCAGCUGUCUCCUUGUAUUUUCUAAGAAGUGAUAGAGGAUCAAGGUUUCCCUAUCAUCUCACCUGACCCAGAGACACUGAAUUUCCGCCAUUGCUACUGCUUUUUCCUUGCAUGUUUGCUGUAACAAAGGAGAACAUUAACAAAGGGAAUAUGAAAGUGAGUCAUAAUACCGUUGCGAAAGAGAGGAAUUCAAAUCCAAGUGAGAGUGGGAUUUUGUCUAAAAAAACCCAUCCAAAUACAUUAGAAUGGAUUUCUCAAUCUCUGUUCUGGAAUUUGAAAUGAAGCUGAGGCGAGGCCUAGAGAGGAAAAAUGAAUGACUUCCAGUCACCAUAUAUCCCCCUAUUUUAAGCUUUCUCCUCUUUCACUCUUAUCUUUCUCAGCAGUCAAACAGAGUCACAAUCAAGACUACCAACUACCAGAAAUAUAAAAAAAAAAAAGAAAAAAAAGAAAUCUAAAAUCAGCCAAUCAGUACUGACUAAAUCAAAUUUAUUUUCACUUUUCACGUCUUGCGUCUGUUAUUUUCUCCUAUUUCCUCGGCAGACAAAGAAAACAAAAGACCAUAAAUAAAAAAUAAACAGAAAUUUUUAUGACAAUCCUCAUCUUCUACGUGAAGAUAAAAUUUUUUAAAAAAAAUCAAAGGCUCAAAGAACGAACCUUGAAGCUCGACAUCUCCCUCACCACCACUCGCCCCCUUUCCAUACACAUAGAAAAUCAAACCAUCGGAGAACAUCGUCAUCAAAUACCCCGCACACGCCAGCAUGAACGCGAACGGAUACUCCACGCUCGUCAAAUCCCCGAACGUCUCAUUCGAGUCGCUCAGAAAAUGCAUCAUCGCCGUCCCCAGAAACACUCCGCCGGCGAACUGCGUUCCCAGCACUAAAAACGUCUCAUUCAUCUUCAAGAAGUAAGGCGACACGCCGGCGAUGAACGUCCCGACAAACUCCAGAAUCAGACAGUAGAUCUUCACCAGAAUCAGUGGCUUCGCCCUCAGGUCAACGCCCUCCGACGACGGUGCGUCAAC